UAGGGAAUCUUCCGCAAUGGACGCAAGUCUGACGGAGCAACGCCGCGUGAGUGAAGAAGGAUUUCGGUUCGUAAAACUCUGUUGUUAGAGAAGAACAGCGCAUAGAGUAACUGUUAUGCGUGUGACGGUAUAUAACCAGAAAGCCACGGCUAACUACGUGCCAGCAGCCGCGGUAAUACGUAGGUGGCAAGCGUUGUCCGGAUUUAUUGGGCGUAAAGCGAGCGCAGGCGGUCAAUUAAGUCUGAUGUGAAAGCCCCCGGCUCAACCGGGGAGGGUCAUUGGAAACUGGUUGACUUGAGUGCAGAAGAGGAGAGUGGAAUUCCAUGUGUAGCGGUGAAAUGCGUAGAUAUAUGGAGGAACACCAGUGGCGAAGGCGACUCUCUGGUCUGUAACUGACGCUGAGGUUCGAAAGCGUGGGUAGCGAACAGG
rnacentral:rRNA from 1 species